GACGAACGCUGGCGGCGUGCCUAAUACAUGCAAGUCGUGCGGACCUUUUAAAAGCUUGCUUUUAAAAGGUUAGCGGCGGACGGGUGAGUAACACGUGGGCAACCUGCCUGUAAGACUGGGAUAACGCCGGGAAACCGGGGCUAAUACCGGAUCGUUUUUCCUCCGCAUGGAGGAAAAAGGAAAGGCGGCUUCGGCUGCCACUUACAGAUGGGCCCGCGGCGCAUUAGCUAGUUGGCGGGGUAACGGCCCACCAAGGCAACGAUGCGUAGCCGACCUGAGAGGGUGCUCGCACACAUUGGAACUGAGACCCGGCCCAACCUCCUCCGGGAGGCAGCAGUGGGGAAUUUUCCCCAAUGGGCGAAGGUCUGCAGGAGCCCCCCCGCGGGGGUGAAGAAGGCCUUCGGGUCGUAAACCUCUUUUGCCGGGGAAGAAAAGGGGCCGUUCAAAAAGGGGGGGGCCUUGACGGCCCCCGGCCAGAAGGCCCCGGCUACCUCCGU
rnacentral:rRNA from 1 species